rnacentral:rRNA from 1 species
AGCGAACGCUGGCGGCAGGCCUAACACAUGCAAGUCGAACGAACCUUUCGGGGUUAUUGGCGGACGGGUGUGUAACACGUGGGAACGUUCCCUUAGGGUCGGAAUAACUCAGGGAAACUUGUGCUAAUACCGAAUGUGCCCUUCUGGGGGAAGAUAUAUCGCCUUUAGAGCGGCCCGCGUCUGAUUAGCUAGUUGGUUGAGGUAAUGGCUCACCAAGGCGACGAUCAGUAGCUGGUCUGAGAGGAUGAUCAGCCACAUUGGGACUGAGACACGGCCCAAACUCCUACGGGAGGCAGCAGUGGGGAAUCGUGCGCAAUGGGCGAAAGCCUGACGCAGCCAUGCCGCGUGAAUGAUGAAGGUCUUAGGAUUGUAAAAUUCUUUCAACGGGGACGAUAAUGACGGUACCCGGAGAAGAAGCCCCGGCUAACUUCGUG